rnacentral:rRNA from 1 species
CGUUGCUUUCUUUGCUGGCGACCGGCGCACGGGUGAGUAACACGUAUCCAACCUGCCCUUUACUCGGGGAUAGCCUUUCGAAAGAAAGAUUAAUACCCGAUAGCAUAAUGAUUCCGCAUGGUUUCAUUAUUAAAGGAUUCCGGUAAAGGAUGGGGAUGCGUUCCAUUAGGUUGUUGGUGGGGUAACGGCCCACCAAGCCUUCGAUGGAUAGGGGUUCUGAGAGGAAGGUCCCCCACAUUGGAACUGAGACACGGUCCAA